AGCUUUGCGCAGUGGCAGUAUCGUAGCCAAUGAGGUUUAUCCGAGGCGCGAUUAUUGCUAAAAAAAAAAAAUAGUGAACAAAAUAAACUGAUGAAUAAAUUAGAAAGCGGGGCAUGGAAAUAUUGAUCAGACUGACAAAUC